rnacentral:rRNA from 1 species
AGUGAACGCUGGCGGUAGGCCUAACACAUGCAAGUCGAACGGCAGCACAGUAAGAGCUUGCUCUUACGGGUGGCGAGUGGCGGACGGGUGAGGAAUACAUCGGAAUCUACUUUUUCGUGGGGGAUAACGUAGGGAAACUUACGCUAAUACCGCAUACGACCUACGGGUGAAAGCAGGGGAUCUUCGGACCUUGCGCGAUUGAAUGAGCCGAUGUCGGAUUAGCUAGUUGGCGGGGUAAUGGCCCACCAAGGCGACGAUCCGUAGCUGGUCUGAGAGGAGGAUCAGCCACACUGGAACUGAGACACGGUCCAGACUCCUACGGGAGGCAGCAGUGGGGAAUAUUGGACAACGGGCGGAAGCCUGAUCCAGCCAUACCGCGUGGGUGAAGAAGGCGUUCGGGUUGUAAAGCCCUUUUGUGGGGAAAGAAAAGCAGCAGGUUAAUACCCCGCUGUUCUGACGGUACCCAAAGAAUAAGCACCGGCUAACUUCGUG